GUAUCUGGUUUGAGAGGACGAUCAGACACACUGGAACUGAGACACGGUCCAGACUCCUACGGGAGGCAGCAGUGGGGAAUUUUCCGCAAUGGGCGAAAGCCUGACGGAGCAAUACCGCGUGAGGGAUGACGGCCUAUGGGUUGUAAACCUCUUUUUUCAGGGAGGAAUCAAUGACGUGUACCUGAAGAAUAAGCAUCGGCUAACUCCGUGCCAGCAGCCGCGGUAAGACGGAGGAUGCAAGUGUUAUCCGGAAUCACUGGGCGUAAAGCGUCUGUAGGUGGUUUAAUAAGUCAACUGUUAAAUCUUGAGGCUUAACCUCGAAAUCGCAGUCGAAACUAUUAGACUAGAGUAUAGUAGGGGUAAAGGGAAUUUCCAGUGGAGCGGUGAAAUGCGUAGAUAUUGGAAAGAACACCAAUGGCGAAGGCACUUUACUGGGCUAUUACUAACACUGAGAGACGAAAGCUAGGGUAGCAAAUGGGAUUAGAUACCCUGGUAGUCC
rnacentral:rRNA from 1 species